rnacentral:rRNA from 1 species
UACGGUAGGGACCAAGCGUUGUUCGGAUUUACUGGGCGUAAAGGGCUCGUAGGCGGCCAACUAAGUCAGACGUGAAAUCCCCAGGCUCAACCUGGGAACUGCGUCUGAUACUGGAUGGCUUGAAUCCGGGAGAGGGAUGCGGAAUUCCAGGUGGUAGCGGUGAAAUGCGCAGAGUAUACAAGGAGAACACCCGUGGCGAAGGCGGCUCUCUGGAACGCAACUGGACGCUGAGACGCGAAAGCGUGGGGAGCAAACAGG